UCCUUGAACUCCCCAUGUAUCCUCUUGUAAUCAACUGGAUUAAGGGAUACUGCUAUGACCUUGAUGAGCACUUGAUCAUCUUUGAGUUGUGGUAAGGGCCAAUUAGGAUCAAACUUAAGAACAUCAGCGGGUCUACCAUGUUGAGAGUAGUACCAAGCUUUUGUGUGGGUUGGAAUAGUGGAAUCAGUGGUUGAUGCAUCUUCUGCCAUGUUGGGUGAAUAUAUAAACUAAGAAGAGGUAGAGAAUAAGGAUUUAGAUGGAGAUGAAGAGCAUGAAGAAAGAUAUAUUUAUAGGAUCUGAUUUCAUGGAUAAUCAGCAUAAAUUUGGAUUUAAUCAUGUCCAAGUUCAGUUUCAUUUCCUCUUUCCGUGUUCUUCAUUCUUAAUUACCAUCUGGGGUAUCCUUUCAAAUUCUAGUCAAAUAAAUUAAGCUCUGUAUUCUUUGAAAUUUUCUAUAUCUUAAAGUAAUAAUCAGUUAAUAAUUAUCACCAAUAUAUAUAUAUAUAUAUAUAUAUAUAUAUAUAUAUAUAUAUAUAUAUAAUUUUUUUUUCUGCACGUCAUGCCUGAUGUGUUUUUGCAUUCAACUUUAUUCAUCCUCGUAUUAAACUAAGCCCUAGCUUGAGUAGAAUAGGUCAACUCUUCGUUGAAUAAAUUCUUUAAUAUGUUCAUGUCACCCAUAAUGUAUACAAUUUUUGUUUUGCAUUCACUUUUUUAUUUUAAGGAUUAAUUAAAUUAUUCAUAUCCAUUCAACGAGUGAUUUAACAAGAGGGAUAUAUUUUAUAUAAUUUUAUUUGUUUGCAUUGAGAUUUUCUUAUUCGUUUAGUAUGGGAGAGGUGGUGAUACCAAUCACGAAAAAAUUAAGAGAAAGAAGACGAAGAAUCACAAUAUUUAUUAAUAAUUAAAAUUACUCAAUAAUUGUAAAUAAAUAUUUAUUGAUAAUUAAAAUCUGAUAAUAAUUAUAAAUAAAAAUAUUUAUUGAAGGAUAAUUAAUAAUAAAUUUUAAUUAUUAAAUUAUCGAUUAAUUUUAAUUGUAGAUAAUUAUCAAUAGAUUUUGUUCAUUUUUUUUUCUCAGCUUGUAAGUGAAUCCUUGAGUAUCUCAUAGAAGCUCCUGGAAAAAGAUUUUUUCUUAUAUUUUCAAAAUCAAAGAAACAAUUGGAUCUCUAAAGUUAAUUAGUAUAGAACUUUUCCUUCUACCACUUCUGAAAUACAAUGGUUCAUCUAUCUUUCUCUUUCAAGGUAUUGGUAGUAUCAUACUCAAUGAACAUAUAUUUCUACAUAAUGUUCUCUGUAUUCCUACCUUUCGUUUUAAUCUUUUAUCAUUAACUACUCUUAUUGUUUCCAAUUUAUUUCGUUUUAAUAUGGAACUUAAUUUUUUUUAGAUCCAUUCCAGUUCAUUCCUGUUGUUCCUACGACAACAUCUUCACCUGCUAUUAGUUUUUAGUUUAACGUGACAAACAAUGUGUCACCUUUUAAGACACAUGAAUUGUUUACAAAAUAGUUCAGUUGCAAACAGUGUAUCACGUCUAGACCUUGAUAAGGUUGGCAAAAUACGUAUACUAUAUUCUCAUAUCAAUAAGACAUCUUGAUAGUCCAGUAAGGUGAAUGGAAAACUAAAAUAACUCUGUAGAAAGUCUCGACAGUGCAUUGAUAACUCAAAUAGUUCAAUGAAAAGUCUAGAUAAAGCAGUAAGCUGUAUUGAAAACUCAGAUAAUUUAAUGAACGGUCAAGAUAACUCGGAUAACAUCUUAAUGAGUUCUCUAAAAUUCCAACUAAACUAUCUAAAUGCUCCAUGGAUAACUUGCUUACCUGAAAAACAGUACACGUGUCUAUGUGAUAUAACGUCUGUCACCUAAAAGAGAGAAUAAAACUCUAUACUUUCGAAUAAAAUUUCAUUUUUAGCACUUAGUAAUUGAAUAAGAUAUAUGAAAAGCUUGGAUGAUCAUAUUUUAGUUAAUUUAAAAUACAGCAGCCGGACAAGAAGAUAUCAUAAUCUGUUUAGUGCCCAUCAAUUACCUACCCAUUUUUUAAUAUGAUAAUAGUGAUAUUGGCCUCCACAUUAUUUAAAUAGUAGAUGCUUUAAUGCGUCACUAAAAAAAUUUAACUUUUUUGACGUAAAAAAAAUUGUUACAAACACUUUGAAGAUUUGUUUCAGAAAAUUUUGUAAGGAAUUGUGAAAUUGAAUUAGUUGUAAAAAAGUAGAUGUCAUAAAAAUUUUGUAAUGGAAAAUACGAGAUUUAUAUGAUUCUAAAGACUUAUUUUUUUAUUAUUAAAAUGGUUAAAACUAUUACAUUUUAUGUGUCACUGCUAAUUAUGAUGUAAAGAUUCAUCAUAAAUUAUUUGUUACUUAAGAAAAUUAAGUUUUGUUAAAAGCAACCGUACUUGAGAAGAAAAUACGUUAUUUGAAUUAGGAACAUGAUAUUAAAGGCAAUCAUUUUCUUUUUAAAGUGAAAAAGAGAUAUUUUAAAGUUAGUAAAAGUAUUUUGAUCUCGUUUGAUGUGAGUUUAGCUUGCUUAAGUGAGACAUCCCUUUGUCACUUAAGACGCAUUUAGAAGUGCUUAUGUGAUAUUGGAAAAUGAAAAUAUAAUUUUGAUACACCACUUCUACCAGUUGAUAACAUUUUUAAAGGUUUUUUAGUCACUAAAAAAAAUUAACUUUUGUAUUUAUAAAGAAAGAAAGAAAUUGAGAGGAAAAUAAUUGAUAUCAAAUGUUUGUAAAAAUUGUUGGAUGUCAAAAUAAUAGUACCUUUGUAAAUUUAAUUCAUCGGAAAAUCAUAUUUCACUUUAGCGUGUGUGUGAAACAAUGUCAUUUACAGUAAAGUGUAUCUAAUGUUUGAAGCAAAAUUCAUGGACAUGCUUGUUUAAGCAUGGUAUAAUUAAUUCACUUAAGUGUUUUAAUUUUUCUAUAAUGUUGUGUAAACGAGUUUGAAAUUUACCUUAAAAAAAUAAUUAAAAUGAAAUACAUUCAACUAUUUAAUAUAUAUUUCUUUCUACUAUUAUUUUUGUUUUUAAUUGUAUUGUCUGUAUAUUUGUUAGUACCGACUGAUGGAAAAAUAAUUUGAAAAACCUUAUUGAGAUAGGACACUUAAUAUAUUUUACAUGUCAGCCAGAUGUGAAAUAAUUAGUCAUUCAUAACAUCAGAAAGUUAAACUUAAUGCGAAUUUAUAAUAAAAAUUACUAAAACAUUAUAGUUUAUAAAUUAUUAAAGUUUAGACUUCUUGCUUGAAUAUCAAAGCUUAUUACAUGUGUGAUGUGAAUUUCUGAGUAGCACUUUAACCCAUCUUCGAUUUUCUCUGACAACAAGUGAUCCAUCUUUGUUCAUACGAUUUGAUAAUAUUUAUCAUUCUAAUUUAUUGCCAAUAUCUUUAUUCUUCAACAAUUAUAAAUACACAAAAUGAACAAGUUACAUGAAACAUGGCUAAAGGCACACACAACAUGCAUAUCAAUUGGGUAUGGGAUAAACAACCACUUUUCCUAUGGCUCUCGAAGUUUCUAAGUAGGAAUAGGCUUCAGCAAGGUGAGAAAAUGGAACUGGAGUCUUUGGAUCAAGUAAUGGCUUCACUAUACCACUCUCAAAGUAAGGUCUUAACUUGUCCAAAAUAGAACCUUUAGAAGUUAGCACAAAGAAAAUGGCUGGUGGAAGUCCAGGAGGUAUUAUUGUCACAGCUUUGCCACCUUCCUUCACUGCCUUCAAAGCUCUAUCAGGCUCUCCUGCAUUUCAUCUUUUCAUCAUCAAACAAUGAAGUAUCUAUAAUAAAAUGUAAAGGAUGAUGAUAUUUUAACACUAUUUUGACACUGCACACGUGUCAAAAUGUGGUUGGAGGAUUUUAAAUUAAAAAAACAAACUUUGGUUUUUUUCUUCCAAAUAUACUCCUGCCUUAACUUUUUUAAUUUGAAAUCGUCCAAUCACAUUUUGACACGUGUGCAGUGUCAAAAUGGUGUAAAAAAAGGUAUUAAAACAUCAUUUUCCAAAUGUAAAAUAAUUUCUGGUUUAAAGAACUGACCUAUUGUGUCGUACACUACAUCAAACUUUUCUGCUAUGUCUUCAAUGUUCUCAUUUGUGUAAUCAAUUGCCCAAUCAGCUCCCAACUUUCUAAGAAGUUCCAAUUUUCCAGUGCUAGAAGUUGCUGCUAUCUUUGAUGCACCAUAUAGAUGCUUAGCAAGCUACAACCAAAUAUUUACAUUCAAAAAUUAUCUUAUGAAAUCUCCUAUAAUGUUAACCAAAGACAACUUCAUUUAGACUUGUCAAAAUUAACUACCACACUUUUCCCUUAUAGUUAAAAAUAAAUUUUGAAUUUAAUUCAAUUUUAUAGUUUGAUUAGAGUUUGAUAACCGAUAUAAUAAUUAAGAAAAAUGAUAUUUUAACACCAAUUUUUUGACACCAUUUUGACACUACAUACAUGUUAAAAAUGUGGUUGGACGAUUUCAAAUUAAAAAAAAAACUUGGAUUUUCCCUUCCAAAUAUGCUCUUGCCUCAGCUUUUUUUAAUUUGAAAUCAUCCAAUCACAUUUUGACAGGUAGUGUCAAAAUAAUGUCAAAAUUUGGUGUUAAAAUAUCAUUUUUCAAUAAUUAAUUUGAUAAACAAUAAAUUUUAUUAAAAUAAAUUUAAAUUCAUAAUUAUAAACCUGAAUGACAAAGUGACCAACUCCACCAGCUCCUCCGACAACAAGAAUAGAUUUUCCAGCAGAAAACUGAGCACGUUCAAGGCCUUCAUAAGCAGUUUCUAGUGCUGCAGGAAUGGCAGCAGCUUCAACGAAGCUUAGAUUUGGUGGCUUGAUAGCUAAUAGCCUCUCUUCUGCAAUAGUAUACUCAGACAAAGUUCCAAGAGCCUUCAGGUUUGUUACUCCUUCCUCGUUGAUAUCACCAUACACUUCAUCACCAACCUUCAGUUUAUGCACUUCUCUUCCCACACUCACCACCACACCAGCAACAUCAAACCCAGGAACAGUCUUCUCAAUCAAAAACAAAGUUAUAUUUUUUACUAUCUCCAAACAAUUAAUACUGAAAAAAACAUCAAUGUUAAAUGAUGACAUACAGGUAAAUGAGGGUCAUAAUCCUUGUACAAGCCGUUCAUCCUCUUGUAAUCAAUGGGAUUAAGAGAUGCUGCAACGACCUUGAUGAGGACUUGGUCAUCUUUGAGCUCUGGUAAUGGCCAAUUAGGAUCCAAUUUCAGAACAUCUGGGCUACCAUGUUCAGAGUAGUACCAAGCUUUUGUGUGGGUUGGAAUGCUUGAUGCAGCUUCUGCCAUGUUGGAUGAAUAUAUAUGAACUAAGAAGAGGUAGAGAAUAAGGAUUUAGAUGGAGAUGAAGAGCAUGAAGGAAGAUAUAUUU
rnacentral:lncRNA from 1 species